AGCACAAGUAUUGCAUGAAUUGAUUUCUUAUCGACAGGGGCAUACUGCUUGCGUUACAGAUAAAACAGCUUGGUACGGGAGGAUUUAGAAGGACAAUGCUUCUCCUUAUUUUGCUGCUCUGCUGCCAAACUCGCCCUAUAUUGGCAUCUUGUCCAGACAAUGAAGAGCCGGCUACUUGCAGCAUUGGAGCCUUCUUCCCACAACUGUAUUGUGGUAACGCUUUCACAGACAAAAAGUGGAUGUGUCACAAGAAAAACAGAGAUAGAUGCGUUUGCACUCCACCACUAUUUAGAACUGAGGAUGGCAAGUGUGUGACCGAAAAAGAAUGUAGUGGUCGGAUACAUUUGAAUAAGGCUACUCAUGAAAAGCCACCUCCAGAGCGAACACAGACACCAUCCCAUAACAUAGCUGAUCAUUCACAGAAAGCACAUCCAGAUGCCGCCAAGCUU